GCAAUUAUACCGUGAAACUGCGAAUGGCUCAUUAAAUCAGUUAUCGUUUAUUUGAUAGUACCUUAUUACUUGGAUAACCCUGGUAAUUCUAGAGCUAAUACAUGCUGAAAACCCCAACUUCGGAAGGGGUGUAUUUAUUAGAUAAAAAACCAAUGCCCUUCGGGGCUCUUUGGUGAUUCAUAAUAACUUCUCAGAUCGCAUGGCCUUGCGCCGGCGACGGUUCAUUCAAAUUUCUGCCCUAUCAACUUUCGAUGGUAAGGUAUUGGCUUACCAUGGUUUCAACGGGUAACGGGGAAUUAGGGUUCGAUUCCGGAGAGGGAGCCUGAGAAACGGCUACCACAUCCAAGGAAGGCAGCAGGCGCGCAAAUUACACAAUCACAAUACGUGGAUGUAGUGACAAUAAAUACUGAUACAGGGCUCUUUUGGGUCUUGUAAUUGGAAUGAGUACAAUUUAAACCUCUUAACGAGGAACAAUUGGAGGGCAAGUCUGGUGCCAGCAGCCGCGGUAAUUCCAGCUCCAAUAGCGUAUAUUAAAGUUGUUGCAGUUAAAAAGCUCGUAGUUGAACCUUGGGUCUGGCUGGUAGGUCCGCCUCACCGCGUGCACUUAACCGGCUGGGCCUUUUCUUCUGGAGAACCUCAUGCCCUUCACUGGGUGUGCUGGGGAACCAGGACUUUUACUUUGAAAAAAUUAGAGUGUUCAAAGCAGGCCUUUGCUCGAAUACGUUAGCAUGGAAUAAUAGAAUAGGACGUGCGGUCUUAUUUUGUUGGUUUCUAAGACCGCCGUAAUGAUUAAUAGGGACAGUUAGGGGCAUCAGUAUUCAAUUGUCAGAGGUGAAAUUCUUGGAUUUAUUGAAGACUAACUACUGCGAAAGCAUUUGCCAGAGAUGUUUUCAUUAAUCAGUGAACGAAAGUUAAGGGAUCGAAAACGAUCAGAUACCGUUGUAGUCUUAACCGUAAACUAUGCCGACUAGGGAUCGGGCAGCGUUUCUAUCUUGACCUGCCCGGCACCUUACGAGAAAUCAAAGUUUUUGGGU
rnacentral:rRNA from 1 species